GCCGAUGUAGCUCAGUUGGUAGAGCGCAUCCAUGGUAAGGAUGAGGUCACCAGUUCGAACCUGGUCAUUGGCU
rnacentral:tRNA from 2 species